CAGGAAAAAAAGAACCAUUUGGC
rnacentral:piRNA from 1 species